ACCCCUGGCAGCCCCUCCUGAUGAUUUUCCUUCCUAAGCCUGCUCAUGAUGCGCAAACAGAGCCUCUAAGUUGAUUAAAGGGGCUGCUUCCCC
ensembl:snoRNA